GAUGAACGCUGGCGGCGUGCCUAAUACAUGCAAGUCGAGCGAACAGACGAGGAGCUUGCUCCUCUGACGUUAGCGGCGGACGGGUGAGUAACACGUGGAUAACCUACCUAUAAGACUGGGAUAACUACGGGAAACCGGAGCUAAUACCGGAUAAUAUAUUGAACCGCAUGGUUCAAUAGUGAAAGACGGUUUUGCUGUCACUUAUAGGUGGAUCCGCGCCGCAUUAGCUAGUUGGUAAGGUAACGGCUUACCAAGGCAACGAUGCGUAGCCGACCUGAGAGGGUGAUCGGCCACACUGGAACUGAGACACGGUCCAGACUCCUACGGGAGGCAGCAGUAGGGAAUCUUCCGCAAUGGGCGAAAGCCUGACGGAGCAACGCCGCGUGAGUGAUGAAGGUCUUCGGAUCGUAAAACUCUGUUAUUAGGGAAGAACAAAUGUGUAAGUAACUAUGCACGUCUUGACGGUACCUAAUCAGAAAGCCACGGCUAACUACGUG
rnacentral:rRNA from 1 species